GGAUGGUGAUCACUUGGUUAGAGCAUGGUACUGAUAAUGCUAAGGUUGCAGGUUCAAUUCCUGUAUGGGGCAGCU